rnacentral:lncRNA from 1 species
CUGAGUUCUAACAGUUGCUAAGUAACUCUCAAAAAAAGUUGCUAGGUAACUCAAAGAAGAAAAAAAAAAAACAAGAAGAAGAAAAAGAAGACUGGGGCCUUUCCCUCUCCUCUCCAAGCCAAUUCUGAUCCCAAAGGGAUGUCUGUUAAAACUCCACUGAAGGCUUAUCCGUGUCUAAAACCUCCCUUGUGAUUCCACCGUAUCCACCGAGAUUAAGCAUAUCCCAGGAAAUGAAAAAAAGGGGAGUCCCACAAGCCAGAGAAUUGACUUUGUAAGGACAAGAGACAUACGGGACAAGAAAAGGCCAGAGGCCUGCUUACUCUACAUCUGUGAACCUCUUCAGACAAGAACUCUGAGUGGAGAUCCUCAAGGGACGGAUCCUUGGGCCACCGAGAAAGGAAAGGGGACGGCUGUGAGGGAGAGCCUGUUAUGUACCUGGCAACAAGCUCAGAAACUGCAGCUCGGAAAUAGGGAGUUGAUCAGGACCACCUGCCCAGAGGACCUAGACGCUGAAGAGGGACCCAUCUGCCUGACAGGAUCUUCCCAGCCCUCUCUGCUGAGGCCGCCGUCUCCCUGGGGCUGUCUCCACCGCAUGGCAGGCGUGGCCACUCACCCAGCAGAACCUCAGUACAAAUCCAGACUGCUGAGACAAAGGUGCAAGCUGGAACAAGCCAUGAAUCCCUCUCCCUCGUUCAAUGCCGAGGAUUUAACAUUACCUAUGGCAGUGAUUCUCACACUGUCUGGUCCCAGGGCCCCCUUUACACUCAUAAAAAUUACUGAGGACCCCAAAGAGCUUUUGUUUAUGCAAGCUACAUCUAUUAAUACUUACCAUAUCAGAAACUAAAACUGAGAAAUCCCUAACAUAUUUAUUUCUUAAUUAAUCUUUAAAGUGACAAGAGUAAGUGCGUACCUGUUAACAUAAAUAAUCUAUUUUUAUGCAAAAUAGCUAUCUUGAGAACAUAGGAAAGUAGUGAGAGUGGCGCUGUUUUUUUAUUUUUAUUUUAAUGUAAUACAAGUAAAUAUUAAUAGAGAAAAUAUAAAAG